rnacentral:misc_RNA from 1 species
CUCUACUAUUAUCUAGUAUUACUAUAUUUUUCCAUUAACAUAAAAAAGCAUAUUCUUUCUCAUUUUUAUUGAAUAAAUAAAAGUAAUAAAUAAGCAAAAUUUUCAUUUUUAUCUAUUUUCAAUUGAAUUUAAAUUGUAAAAAAAAAAACUUCCAUAAAAGAUUAGGAAAAGUAAAAGUAUAUGAUAUAGAAACCUAUAAUAUAAAUGAAUACAAAUAAAAACAAACAAAUCGAACCAAACUAUAAAAAGUACUUGUUAUUUUUAAAGUUUAAAGAAACUAUGUAAGGCAAAUAGUACUAAAUAAAAAAAAAGGAGCAAUAACGCCCUCUUGUUUUAUCAAGAGGGAAGCUAUUGCUCCUUUUUUAGUUCAAAAACUCCUAUACAAUCAGACCAAAGUC